AAGGUUGUUCUAACAAGUCUGAUACAGUCAUGAUAUGACAAGAAUGUUACAAGGUUGACGACACAAGCUAGGUUGCAACAAUAUUGUUAUAUCACGACUGCAUCGGACUUGUUGGAACAAUCUU